UACGUAGGGUGCGAGCGUUAAUCGGAAUUACUGGGCGUAAAGCGUGCGCAGGCGGUUUGUUAAGACAGAUGUGAAAUCCCCGGGCUUAACCUGGGAACUUCAUUUGUGACUGGCAAGCUAGAGUAUGGCAGAGGGGGGUAGAAUUCCACGUGUAGCAGUGAAAUGCGUAGAGAUGUGGAGGAAUACCGAUGGCGAAGGCAGCCCCCUGGGCCAAUACUGACGCUCAUGCACGAAAGCGUGGGGAGCAAACAGG
rnacentral:rRNA from 1 species